GAUGAACGCUGGCGGCAUACUUAACACAUGCAAGUCUUAGGAGAACGCAUCCUUCGGGAAGCAAGUAAACUGGCGAACGGGUGAGUAACGCGUAGACAACCUACCUUCUAGUUUGGAAUAACUUCGGGAAACCAAAGCUAAUGCCAAAUAAAAUUUUAUGAUUUAAGUUAUAAAAUAAAAGCGGGCUUCGGCUCGCGCUUGAAAAUGGGUCUGCGUCUGAUUAGCUUGUUGGUAAGGUAACGGCUUACCAAGGCAACGAUCAGUAGCUGGUCUGAGAGGGCAAUCAGCCACACUGGAACUGAGACACGGUCCAGACUCCUACGGGAGGCAGCAGUGGGGAAUUUUGCGCAAUGGGCGAAAGCCUGACGCAGUAAUGCCGCGUGAUCGAAGAAGCUUCGAGGAGUGUAAAGAUCUGUCGUUAGGGAAGAAAUAUAAUUAGUCUAACAAACUAAUUUUUUGACGGUACCUAGCAAGAAAGCCCCGGCUAACUUCGUGCCAGCCGCCGCC
rnacentral:rRNA from 1 species